UACGUAGGGUCCGAGCGUUGUCCGGAAUUACUGGGCGUAAAGAGCUCGUAGGUGGUUUCGUCGCGUUGUUCGUGAAAACUCACAGCUCAACUGUGGGCGUGCGGCGAUACGGGCAGACUAGAGUACUGCAGGGGAGGACUGGAAUUCCUGGUGUAGCGGUGGAAGUGCGCAGAAUAUCAGGAGGAACACCAAUAGCGAAGGCAGCUCGCUGGGACGGUAGUUGACGCUAAGGCGCGAAAAGCGUGGGGAGCAAACAGG
rnacentral:rRNA from 1 species